UGCAAACUAAAACUCAAUUAUUCAGCUCUGUAUAAAAAGUUUGCUGUUGUUGGAAAGCUUUGGACGGGAUGUCAAAGCAUACAAUUUUUUCAAAUUUCCGGGAUCAAAGCAAAUUAAUGGACGCGUAUCAAUACUACCUCAGGGAAAUUCAACGAAUUAACGGUAAAUUGCUCGUAAUGGUUCGUUUUAGUGAUGUUGAUAAUUUGUGCAUAGAAAAUUGAUCUGAAGAAUCGGCGGCGGAAAAUAGUUGAAAAGCGAUGAGGAGCAGCAUGAUGGGGUCGUUUUGUGUACUGCAACCCAAUGCUCAUGGAUGGUAAUCGGAAUACGUAUCGAAAUCGUCCCGUAAAAAGAAUGCGAGCCCAAAAAGAAGACAAAUGAAAGCCAAAUUUAAAGAAAUUGUGAAUCAAGGUCAAUAUCCUCCGGAAAAACUUAAACCGGAAGAGAUGUAUCGGCUGAUAAUGUUCUCCAGUUUUGAUUCCUCCUUAGCAUAAGGAGCUUUUGCUGCAAGGAAAUCACAUAGCACCUGGAAAAUAAAUUUUAAGAUGCACAUAUAAAGAAAAAAUGAGGAUAGUGUAACCGGUUUCUGAUUCCUGGGUGUUAUGCUACGUAUAGCAUAGAUAGUCAUCAACAUUUCAAGUUUCUUGUGGAACUGUGGCCAUGAAAUUCGAACACCUUUUUCUAGAGGAUUCGAUGCUGAUGACGGUGAAGUUACACAGGCUGAAAAAAAAAGAAAACAGCAUCUCGGGACCAUGCGAAAGUAUCGAUAAGCCUGAUGGAAUGAAUAUCUCAGAUCGAAAUUGCUUUUGAUGGAGCCUGGCAUAGGGUUAUAAACAAAUGAACAGGUUUACAUAAAUUGUUUUUUACUUUUCAUUCUAUUGCUAUCAGCUUACUUUAUCAAUGUAUCGGAAUGCUAAAUAACUUAUGUUAAUUUUUAAGAUUUGAAAUAUUCAUUAAAAUUUAAA